UGUGUUGAGGGUAAGCUAAUUAAGGGUACGCUGCUGUAGUAUAUACUGCUGCUGCUGCUAUACUACAGCUGCCACUACAUACUGUUAGUACUGUUGCUACUACUAUUGUUAUUAAUGUUAUCAUUCUCCAUCUCACUCUGUACCUCGAUCUUCCCUCAAAUAGCUUUUUUUCUAAGUUUUUUAAUUGCUUCCUGGUCUUCUCUUCUUAUUAUAGUGAUCUAACCAUUUUUCCUCUCGCGUUGCACUUCCUCUCUCGUUAACUCAUUUCGUAGAGGUUUUUGAGUGAUUAUCAUAAAUUAAAUCAGUAUCUUCGCUUCAGCAGCUAAUUCAACUACUUCUUUGCUUUUCUUCAGUCUGUACAAACAUUUCAAAGUAUGUAACUUAAAACUCGCGGGCACCCAAGUAGCGCAGAAGUCCCUCCCUCCCAUUUCUGUCAAUCCUCGCCACGCCGCCAGAUAGUUGCUGCAGCUCCGCCAUUCCAACCACAGGUCGCCAUGUCCUCACCUGUGGCGCUCUGCAGGUCGCCGUCCGGGCCAUGCUUCCUGCAGGAGUAGGUUGCCUCACCAUCGCCUGUCAGCUGAGUCUCCGAGUGGAAGUCUGUUGUGUCGCACCAACAGUCCUUCUGGAACGCAGCCCCACCCGGCGUCUGUAUCUGCCAUGUGAGGCGAGGAAAGGAUGUAAUUCACAACAAAGUCAGCCAAGUGUUUUGAGAAGGAAUUACAACUCUUCAAGAUGCACUUACUCAUGCGUCCUACAGUUCCUUCCUGGCUUCACACUUUUGAUACAAGCAUCCCACCAGCGGGAUUUUUC